rnacentral:rRNA from 1 species
GACGAACGCUGGCGGCGUGCCUAAUACAUGCAAGUAGAACGCUGAAGGAGGAGCUUGCUCUUCUGGAUGAGUUGCGAACGGGUGAGUAACGCGUAGGUAACCUGCCUGGUAGCGGGGGAUAACUAUUGGAAACGAUAGCUAAUACCGCAUAACAGUAGAUGUUGCAUGACAUUUGCUUAAAAGGUGCAAUUGCACCACUACCAGAUGGACCUGCGUUGUAUUAGCUAGUUGGUGGGGUAACGGCUCACCAAGGCGACGAUACAUAGCCGACCUGAGAGGGUGGUCGGCCACACUGGGACUGAGACACGGCCCAGACUCCUACGGGAGGCAGCAGUAGGGAAUCUUCGGCAAUGGACGGAAGUCUGACCGAGCAACGCCGCGUGAGUGAAGAAGGUUUUCGGAUCGUAAAGCUCUAUUGUAAGAGAAGAACGAGUGUGAGAGUGGAAAGUUCACACUGUGACGGUAUCUUACCAGAAAGGGACGGCUAACUACGUG